AUACGGAGGGUGCAAGUGUUGUCCGGAUUUAUUGGGUUUAAAGGGUGCGUAGGUGGUUUAUUAAGUCAGUGGUGAAAUCCUGCAGCUUAACUGUGGAACUGCCAUUGAUACUGGUAAACUUGAGUACUGUUGAGGCAGGCGGAAUUUAUGGUGUAGCGGUGAAAUGCAUAGAUACCAUAAAGAACACCGAUAGCGAAGGCAGCUUGCUUAGCAGUUACUGACACUGAUGCACGAAAGCGUGGGUAGCGAACAGGAUUAGAAACCCUAGUAGUCC
rnacentral:rRNA from 1 species